AAAUUGAAGAGUUUGAUCAUGGCUCAGAUUGAACGCUGGCGGCAGGCCUAACACAUGCAAGUCGAGCGGUAGCACAGAGAGCUUGCUCUCGGGUGACGAGCGGCGGACGGGUGAGUAAUGUCUGGGAAACUGCCUGAUGGAGGGGGAUAACUACUGGAAACGGUAGCUAAUACCGCAUAACGUCGCAAGACCAAAGUGGGGGACCUUCGGGCCUCAUGCCAUCAGAUGUGCCCAGAUGGGAUUAGCUAGUAGGUGGGGUAAUGGCUCACCUAGGCGACGAUCCCUAGCUGGUCUGAGAGGAUGACCAGCCACACUGGAACUGAGACACGGUCCAGACUCCUACGGGAGGCAGCAGUGGGGAAUAUUGCACAAUGGGCGCAAGCCUGAUGCAGCCAUGCCGCGUGUAUGAAGAAGGCCUUCGGGUUGUAAAGUACUUUCAGCGAGGAGGAAGGCGAUAAGGUUAAUAACCUUGUCGAUUGACGUUACUCGCAGAAGAAGCACCGGCUAACUCCGUGCCAGCAGCCGCGGUAAUACGGAGGGUGCAAGCGUUAAUCGGAAUUACUGGGCGUAAAGCGCACGCAGGCGGUCUGUUAAGUCAGAUGUGAAAUCCCCGGGCUCAACCUGGGAACUGCAUUUGAAACUGGCAGGCUUGAGUCUUGUAGAGGGGGGUAGAAUUCCAGGUGUAGCGGUGAAAUGCGUAGAGAUCUGGAGGAAUACCGGUGGCGAAGGCGGCCCCCUGGACAAAGACUGACGCUCAGGUGCGAAAGCGUGGGGAGCAAACAGGAUUAGAUACCCUGGUAGUCCACGCUGUAAACGAUGUCGACUUGGAGGUUGUUCCCUUGAGGAGUGGCUUCCGGAGCUAACGCGUUAAGUCGACCGCCUGGGGAGUACGGCCGCAAGGUUAAAACUCAAAUGAAUUGACGGGGGCCCGCACAAGCGGUGGAGCAUGUGGUUUAAUUCGAUGCAACGCGAAGAACCUUACCUACUCUUGACAUCCAGAGAACUUAGCAGAGAUGCUUUGGUGCCUUCGGGAACUCUGAGACAGGUGCUGCAUGGCUGUCGUCAGCUCGUGUUGUGAAAUGUUGGGUUAAGUCCCGCAACGAGCGCAACCCUUAUCCUUUGUUGCCAGCGGUUCGGCCGGGAACUCAAAGGAGACUGCCAGUGAUAAACUGGAGGAAGGUGGGGAUGACGUCAAGUCAUCAUGGCCCUUACGAGUAGGGCUACACACGUGCUACAAUGGCAUAUACAAAGAGAAGCGACCUCGCGAGAGCAAGCGGACCUCAUAAAGUAUGUCGUAGUCCGGAUUGGAGUCUGCAACUCGACUCCAUGAAGUCGGAAUCGCUAGUAAUCGUAGAUCAGAAUGCUACGGUGAAUACGUUCCCGGGCCUUGUACACACCGCCCGUCACACCAUGGGAGUGGGUUGCAAAAGAAGUAGGUAGCUUAACCUUCGGGAGGGCGCUUACCACUUUGUGAUUCAUGACUGGGGUGAAGUCGUAACAAGGUAACCGUAGGGGAACCUGCGGUUGGAUCACCUCCUUA
rnacentral:rRNA from 1 species